GCGGGCAUCUCUUAUCAUUAUAAAAUAUUUUAUAAUUGUAAAAAUAACUCAGCAAAGAGGGUCAUACUGGUCAUUUAAUAUCUCAGCAGUUAAAGCAGUUAAUUGCGACGAUAGUUGGGGAUUUUGGUGGGGAUGACUUUUUCUCACUCGUUUGGAUACUUGCGCGCGGCGCGUACGUGUUUGUCUCGAGCCGACGCGCGCGGCGUACAUAUCGUAGUGCGCGAAGUGUAUCCGUAUUAAAAUAAUUCGGACUCUCUUUCUUAAACGAUAGACUCUUUUCGUAAUUUUUCGUAAUAAUCGGGCUAUCCGUCGACCGAGCAUUAAGUCGUGUGUUUCUUCGACAGAAUCGCGAAGCUCGGUGCCACGGGAAAGUGACGACGGAGCAGCCAGAGGAGUCAGGAUGCCGCACCAGGAUGUUGAGACCAGACGGUGGAAAUUUCCAGAGGAUUCCAGAGCUUCAACAGGAGCGAAGAGAGAGGGAGGAGCUGAAAGCGCAAAAACAUCAGCGAUCACCUUGAAGCUCCGCGCCGUGACGAGACGCCGUAAAUCGCGAGUGCCAUGAGGAAGCGCAACGACGGAGCAUCGGAGAGCGAGCCAGGACGAAGGACGCAAAAUGCCGAGAUGCAAGUAGAGCAGACAACGGCAUCGUGUAUUCCCAGGUGAAAUCAUUCAUUAUUUCAUAUGGAUGUUCCCGAUGUUAACGGAUGUCUAACGAAUUUAUCAGAGAAUAUAUUAGAAUAUUAGAAUAUGAGGAAACCCGAGUCGAAAUGUAGGUCAUUAUCCACAGCUUUUAAUGUCCAUUAUUUAAUAAAUAAUUAUAGCUCUAUGAGUCUCUAGAUAUUUGUCAAUCUACAUUUGUUUCAACACAAGAAACAUUCAAUCAGCUGAGUAACGGUGAGAACUUGUCGUUAAUUGUGCUCUUAAAUCUUAAUGAAAGAUUUUAAAUAAUUUGUAACGGUGGACAGUGACCUUGGAAUUUAUUGUAAAUUAUAUUGACAUAUUUACGUCCAAUAAUGCUUUCCGAGCCUUGAGUCUCGUCUCGAUUACAUUGUGCCAACGCAUUUUUCAUUGCCAUUUAUCUUCGAUAUGGUAUCGCGUACACAUUUGAGACUCUGCUCGUAUAUAGCAUUAUCGGACACAUGAUUACAGAACUUCGCCUUUACAGAUUCCUCCAUAUCAACAUCGAGAAGAGAAGAAAAAGAGCUUAUGAGAAUAAAAAUGUGUUGCAUCUGUUAUUUAUUUACUCAUUAAUCCUCCGCAGAUUAUUUAACAUUUGCUCAUCGCGCAUUUUUUCCCCUUUUUAUUGUACGAGAAUCUUUUUAUUCGUUAUACUAUUAUCCCAAUUUUUGUACACCCAAGGGUUCAGACCCGUAUAUUAUUAAUAAUUAAAUAAAUAAAUAUAUCUGUUCGUAAUCGAGUGAGUCACCUAGCCGAUACAUUGUCGAUCGAAAUUGCGAAUAAAUUAGAUGCAGACGCAUGAGAAAUACCGGGAUAAGCCAAUGUUAAGUAAUUCUGAAACAGGGCUUCUCGAAGCCCCAACGUGGAAAACGAGGCAAUGAGUAAUCGUUCGCCUCGUCAAGGUAGGACAGCGACGUCUGUCUAGUGCUAUAUAUCUUGGGAUUCUCCAUUAACCCUUCAAGUUCGACGGAAUUUGCAGGGUUGAUGCAGAGCCAUCGUUUCGACUCGAGUGCAACCGCGAUAUUAGCGAAGUAUCUGCGAAAAUCCUGAAUCUGGUAUCGCGGAAUUUGAUAUCAAACUCGAGAACGCUCCCCCUUCCCGGAGGGGAUUCUCGAUCGCAUUCACGUUUAUUAUUGCGGAACAAAGGACACGAAACUCUCGACCUUAGCGUCUAGUCUCGGCGAAAUUUCAUUGGACUGCUUGUGAUAAAUUUCACGAGAUUGUCGUCUCGCCUAUACUCCUUGCUCCCCCUCGUCGCCAACGGAAUUAAUUUCACCUCGCGGUAUCGAUCGCUCCCUUGAUCCGUUGCGUUAACAUUUGCUUAUUAUUCGUUGCGAUUAUUCGUUGCCCCGACUGCGACGCGCGAUUCAUAGGCGGGCAUUAGAAUAUGAACGACGCGAGACGACCGCGGAAUCCGCGUGCGAGCGCUCGAUUAGAAUGCAAAUCGCGAAGCGCUCCUCCCCCUCCCCCCUCCCCACUCCUCGCUCUCGCCCCUUGGUACACGCUGCGUUUUGAUAGUGUUACCAUAGACGGAGCAAGAACACCCUCUUCUCUCUCCCUCUC
rnacentral:lncRNA from 1 species